rnacentral:rRNA from 1 species
UACGGGGGGAGCAAGCGUUGUUCGGAUUUACUGGGCGUAAAGGGCGCGUAGGCGGCCAGCACAAGUCAGUUGUGAAAUCUCCGAGCUUAACUCGGAAAGGUCAACUGAUACUGUGCGGCUAGAGUGCGGAAGGGGCAACUGGAAUUCUUGGUGUAGCGGUGAAAUGCGUAGAUAUCAGGAGGAACACCUGUGGUGUAGACAGCUUACUGGACCACGACUGACGCUGAGACACGAAAGCGUGGGUAGCAAACAGG